rnacentral:rRNA from 1 species
UACGGAGGGGGCAAGCGUUGUUCGGAAUUACUGGGCGUAAAGGGCGCGCAGGCGGCUGCUCAAGUCAGGCGUGAAAGGCCUGGGCUCAACCCGGGAAUUGCGCUUGAGACUGGGCUGGCUUGAGUGCGGCAGAGGGGGGUGGAAUUCCGCGUGUAGCAGUGAAAUGCGUAGAGAUGCGGAGGAACACCGAUGGCGAAGGCAGCCCCCCUGGGUCGACACUGACGCUCAGGCACGAAAGCGUGGGGAGCAAACAGG